UACGGAGGGAGCUAGCGUUGUUCGGAAUUACUGGGCGUAAAGCGCACGUAGGCGGCUAUUCAAGUCGGGGGUGAAAGCCCGGGGCUCAACCCCGGAAUUGCCCUCGAAACUAGAUAGCUAGAAUCUUGGAGAGGCGAGUGGAAUUCCGAGUGUAGAGGUGAAAUUCGUAGAUAUUCGGAGGAACACCAGUGGCGAAGGCGGCUCGCUGGCUCGAUACUGACGCUGAGGUGCGAAAGCGUGGGGAGCAAACAGG
rnacentral:rRNA from 1 species